UAAACAACGAAAUAGACAUUGCAAUCCUUUCGGAGAUCUGGGUUGUAAAUAAUGCCGACUGCAGUAUCUUAGAUUACAACUUCAUCGGCAAGCCCAGAGAAGACGGCUACGGCGGAGUAGGAAUCUAUAUUAGAAAGAAAAUUAGAUUUAGCAUUCUGAAAAUAGACUGUGAUCUAGAGAUCGUAGGUAUUAAAACCCUGAACCUCAAAAGCAACCUUAACAUUUUCAGCGCAUACGUAAAAAGCGCAGGGUAAAAAAUUGGUAAAACUGCUUGCUCCUAAAAUACGAUUUAUUCUAUUGUGCAGCACUUUCUUCUCUUGAAUGGAGGCAUCUAACCCUUCGACUGUUAUGACGAUUGGGAAGUGGUUGCUGUUGGUUAUUUUGGAUUUAAGGGCUUGCCAGUCGAUUCUACCGAUCCUGUGAUUAGAAAAGGUGAGGUCAAGAACAGAGAAUUGGGAAGGGUUCCUGGAAAACGUUGGAGAUCCGUCGUUAAGACAGAUAAAACCCGCCUCACGAGUAGCAUUCUCGAUGCUGCGACCCUUGCGGUCACUGGAAGGGUUUCCCCAGAUGGAAGACUUGGCGUUGAAAUCUCCUCCUACGACUGAAGGGUAGUCUAGGGACUCCGCAAGCUCGAACACCUUUUUAAUGCCCGAUUUGAAUUGGGAAAGUGUCGUUGAAGGCGCAGCGUAUGCGCUGAAAAUGUUAAGGUUGCUUUUGAGGUUCAGGGUUUUAAUACCUACGAUCUCUAGAUCACAGUCUAUUUUCAGAAUGCUAAAUCUAAUUUUCUUUCUAAUAUAGAUUCCUACUCCGCCGUAGCCGUCUUCUCUGGGCUUGCCGAUGAAGUUGUAAUCUAAGAUACUGCAGUCGGCAUUAUUUACAACCCAGAUCUCCGAAAGGAUUGCAAUGUCUAUUUCGUUGUUUAUUAGAAACAUAUUGAGGAGCUGUUUGUUGUUGUUGUAAGUCAGACUUUGAAUGUUUAGUUGUAGAAUCUUCAUUGUUUUUUGUUAGAGUAUCCCGCUUCCACCCCUUGCACAAUUUGCAAACGGUCGAGUUCAGCAUUGGAGGAG
rnacentral:lncRNA from 1 species